GCCUGGGUGGCUCAGUCGGUUAAGCAUCUGACUUUGGCUCAGAUCAUGAUCUCCAAAUUUGUGAGUUCAAGCCCCACAUCAGGCU
rnacentral:tRNA from 1 species